AUUGAACGCUGGCGGCAGGCUUAACACAUGCAAGUCGAGCGGGGGAAGGUAGCUUGCUACCGGACCUAGCGGCGGACGGGUGAGUAAUGCUUAGGAAUCUGCCUAUUAGUGGGGGACAACAUCUCGAAAGGGAUGCUAAUACCGCAUACGUCCUACGGGAGAAAGCAGGGGAUCUUCGGACCUUGCGCUAAUAGAUGAGCCUAAGUCGGAUUAGCUAGUUGGUGGGGUAAAGGCCUACCAAGGCGACGAUCUGUAGCGGGUCUGAGAGGAUGAUCCGCCACACUGGGACUGGGACACGGCCCAGCCUCCUACGGGAGGCAGCAGUGGGGAAUAUUGGACAAUGGGGGGAACCCUGAUCCAGCCAUGCCGCGUGUGUGAAGAAGGCCUUAUGGUUGUAAAGCACUUUAAGCGAGGAGGAGGCUACUUUAGUUAAUACCUAGAGAUAGUGGACGUUACUCGCAGAAUAAGCACCGGCUAACUCUGUGCCAGCAGCCGCAGUAA
rnacentral:rRNA from 1 species